rnacentral:rRNA from 1 species
CCUACGGGUGGCAGCAGUGGGGAAUUUUGCGCAAUGCUCGCAAGAGUGACGCAGCGACGUCGCGUGAAUGACGAAGGCCUUCGGGUCGUAAAGUUCUUUUUAUAGGGAAGUAAAUUCAUAUAAGUAACUGUGUAUGUAUUUACGUUAUCUGUAUAAGCAGCCCCGGCUAACUCCGUGCCAGCAGCCGCGGUAAUACGGAGGGGGCGAGCGUUGUUCGGAGUGACUGGGCGUAAAGGGCACGUAGGCGGUGUUGUAAGUCAUUAGUCAAAGACUAGAGCUCAACUUUAGUAAGGCUAGUGAUACUAUAAUACUAGAGUAUCAGAGAGGAUUGCAGAAUUCCUGGUGUAGCGGUGAAAUGCGUAGAUAUCAGGAGGAAUACCGUUAGCGAAGGCGGCAAUCUAGCUGGACACUGACGCUGAGGUGCGAAAGCGUGGGUAGCAAACAGGAUUAGAUACCCCAGUAGUC